GCCAGGUGUGGUGGUGCACACCUGUGGUCCCAGCUACUCAGGAGGCUGAGGCAGGAGGAUCACUUGAGCCUGGGAGGCGAAGGUUGCAGUGAGCGGUGAUUGUGCCACUGCACUCCAGCCUGGGCAACAGAGUGAAACCCUGUCUCAA
rfam:Gorilla gorilla gorilla genomic chromosome, chr22, whole genome shotgun sequence